UCUCUCCUCUUCCUCCACGAUAUAUACUGAUGAGAGACAACAAAGUCUCACCAACUCUUUCUUAGUCUUCCAAAAAUUUCACAACGAGAACAGAGAAAAAGAAGGAGAAGAGAUCUACAGAAAACGAAGGAAACAACUGUUGGGAAAAAGGUUCAUAUUCCAUUCUAAAGUCAUGUCGCUCGAUUAUUACAUUUGUCUCUUGCACAGUUCAAUUGGUGAAAGUUUCUUCAUGUCAAAUUAAAAGUAGUCAUUUACAGAGAUAGCAAAUAAAGAUGUCAAAUGAAGUCAGUGUGUCUCUUACUAUUUGCAUUUUUCUUAAUUUACGCUUUACACGUCAUUACUAUGGAGAUGACUCUUCUUAAAGACCAUUCACUCUUAACACAACAACUAGAUAUGAUAUGCAGAUCCUUUGUUACAGCACAAAACAUCUUCGUAGAAAAUUGAGGGUUAUAUAUAAAGGAAGGACUAAUUAAAGAUUAUUCACACAUGAUAAAAAGGGCUGAAGAGAUGAUAAGAAACAGUCAGAGUUUGCUUUGAUUUUUUACCUUCCCAAGCAAGAACGACAAGAUUGUUUUGGUAUAAUAUGAUUAUGAACUUUUGUGGUACUUUGAUAUGUAUACUUUGGAAAAUUAAUCAAAUAAAGUUACAACGCUAUUUUGAAUAA